GACGAACGCUGGCGGCGUGCUUAACACAUGCAAGUCGAACGGAAAGGCCCCUUUGGGGGUACUCGAGUGGCGAACGGGUGAGUAACACGUGAGUAACCUGCCCUUGACUUCGGGAUAACUUCAGGAAACUGGGGCUAAUACCGGAUAGGAAUCCUUGCUGCAUGGUGGGGGUUGGAAAGCUUCGGCGGUUUUGGAUGGACUCGCGGCAUAUCAGCUUGUUGGUGGGGUAGUGGCUUACCAAGGCUUUGACGGGUAGCCGGCCUGAGAGGGCGACCGGCCACAUUGGGACUGAGAUACGGCCCAGACUCCGACGGGAGGCAGCAGUGGGGAAUAUUGCACAAUGGGCGGAAGCCUGAUGCAGCAACGCCGCGUGCGGGAUGACGGCCUUCGGGUUGUAAACCGCUUUCAGCAGGGGCGAAGCUUGUGGUGACGGUACCUGCAGAAGAAGCACCGGCUAACUACGUG
rnacentral:rRNA from 1 species